AGUGAACGCUGGCGGUAGGCCUAACACAUGCAAGUCGAACGGCAGCACAGGAGAGCUUGCUCUCUGGGUGGCGAGUGGCGGACGGGUGAGGAAUACAUCGGAAUCUACUUUUUCGUGGGGGAUAACGUAGGGAAACUUACGCUAAUACCGCAUACGACCUACGGGUGAAAGCAGGGGAUCUUCGGACCUUGCGCGAUUGAAUGAGCCGAUGUCGGAUUAGCUAGUUGGCGGGGUAAAGGCCCACCAAGGCGACGAUCCGUAGCUGGUCUGGGAGGAUGAGCAGCCACACUGGAACUGAGACACGGUCCAGACGCCUACGGGAGGCAGCAGUGGGGAAUAUUGGACAAUGGGCGCAAGCCUGAUCCAGCCAUACCGCGUGGGUGAAGAAGGCCUUCGGGUUGUAAAGCCCUUUUGUUGGGAAAGAAAUCCAGCUGGUUAAUACCCGGUUGGGAUGACGGUACCCAAAGAAUAAGCACCGGCUAACUUCGUGCCAGCCGCCGCCGUAA
rnacentral:rRNA from 1 species